rnacentral:rRNA from 1 species
UACGUAGGAGGCGAGCGUUAUCCGGAUUUACUGGGCGUAAAGCGCGUGCAGGCGGUCUGGUAAGUUGGAUGUGAAAGCUCCUGGCUCAACCGGGAGAGGUCGUUCAAUACUGCCAGACUCGAGGACGGUAGAGGAGAGUGGAAUUCCCGGUGUAGUGGUGAAAUGCGUAGAUAUCGGGAGGAACACCAGUGGCGAAAGCGGCUCUCUGGGCCCGUUCCUGACGCUAAGACGCGAAAGCGUGGGGAGCGAACGGG